rnacentral:rRNA from 1 species
UGGGGAAUAUUGGACAAUGGGCGAAAGCCUGAUCCAGCCAUGCCGCGUGUGUGAAGAAGGCCUUUUGGUUGUAAAGCACUUUAAGCGAGGAGGAGGCUACUGAGAUUAAUACUCUUGGAUAGUGGACGUUACUCGCAGAGUAAGCACCGGCUAACUCUGUGCCAGCAGCCGCGGUAAUACAGAGGGUGCGAGCGUUAAUCGGAUUUACUGGGCGUAAAGCGUGCGUAGGCGGCUUCUUAAGUCGGAUGUGAAAUCCCUGAGCUUAACUUAGGAAUUGCAUUCGAUACUGGGAAGCUAGAGUAUGGGAGAGGAUGGUAGAAUUCCAGGUGUAGCGGUGAAAUGCGUAGAGAUCUGGAGGAAUACCGAUGGCGAAGGCAGCCAUCUGGCCUAAUACUGACGCUGAGGUACGAAAGCAUGGGGAGCAAACAGG